rnacentral:rRNA from 1 species
CAGUAGCCGCGGGAAUACGAAGGGGGCUAGCGUUGUUCGGAAUUACUGGGCGUAAAGCGCACGCAGGCGGCUCGAUAAAUUAGAAGUGAAAGCCUUGGGCUUAACCUGAGAAUUGCUUUUAAGACUGUCAAGCUAGAAUCCAGAAGAGGGUAGUGGAAUUCCGAGUGUAGAGGUGAAAUUCGUAGAUAUGCGGAGGAACACCGAUGGCGAAGGCAAUCCCCUGGGCCUGUACUGACGCUCAUGCACGAAAGCGUGGGGAGCAAACAGGAUUAGAUACCCCAGUAGUCCCUGUCUCUUAUAC